GCCGAUGUAGCUCAGUUGGUAGAGCAGCUCACUCGUAAUGAGCAGGUCGUCCGUUCAACUCGGAUCAUCGGCUCCA
rnacentral:tRNA from 2 species